rnacentral:misc_RNA from 1 species
GAUGAAGAACGUAGCGAAAUGCGAUAAGUAGUGUGAAUUGCAGAAUUCAGUGAAUCAUCGAAUCUUUGAACGCACAUUGCGCCCCUUGGUAUUCCAUGGGGCAUGCCUGUUCGAGCGUCAUUUGUACCUUCAAGCUUUGCUUGGUGUUGGGUGUUUGUCUCGCCUUUGCGUGUAGACUCGCCUUAAAAUAAUUGGCAGCCGGCGUAUUGAUUUCGGAGCGCAGUACAUCUCGCGCUUUGCACUCAUAUCGACAGCGUCCAAAAGUACAUUUUACACUCUUGACCUCGGAUCAGGUAGGGAUACCCGCUGAACUUAAGCAUAUCAAUAAGCGGAGGA